AAAAUAACGAAAUCAAGAACUUGCCUGGUGAUUUAUUUAAUCUUUUAGUCAAGCUACAGGAGCUAUAUCUAGACAAAAAUCAGAUAGAGGAACUACCGAAGGGAGUCUUCAAUAGCAACACCGAGUUGACCUAUCUAUCCCUGGACAAUAACAAAAUCAAGGAGUUGCACCAUACUCUAUUGACUCAGUCAGUAAAGCUUGAGCAGUU